rnacentral:lncRNA from 1 species
ACAAUGGGAGUUGCAUUCCCUGAAUUUAGUUUAACAGAUAUUCUAGAGGGUUCCUCAACAUGCUUCCGAACAUUAGAUGAAGAAAGACAAAGAUCAGGUGAAUUCACGUAUUUAUACUGCUGCCCAUGCAGCAGACCUGGAGAAGUAAUGAAAUCAUUGUUCUGACUCUCUUUGCAUGCUUGCGUUACAGAUAUAACACUUAUUGGUGCUGACAAAUUCUGUGCAGGUAUUACAGAAGGAUUUUUGGGUUGGUGAAAAGCAACAUCCUCAACAGGUUGAACAUUGAUAUCUAUAAUCUGAUGCCCUUCAGAGCUACCCCCACCAAGGGGAAUAUU